CGAAACUUUGCUGGCUAUUUUAGUUCUUAUGUUAUUGUGUUAAGUGUCAAGUUUUUUUGAAGCAAUUUUAUACUCUAAAUAUUUUGUGUUGUAUGUCUAUUAAAAUUUCUAUCAUAUAUAAAGCUAUGGUGUUCUGAUUGUGAAUGAGUACGAUAGUUUUGUUCAAGAUUCACCAUGAAAUUCCUAGCAACAUUGUUUGCCAUUAUGGCCGUCGUUUUUGCUGUUGUGGGUGGCAUGGCUUUCACCCCUAAUACCCAAUCCGGCAUCAAGGAACAUCAGCAUUCAGCUGGGUGUGGAAAUAAUUCCCCUCCACCCCCACCACCACCACCUGCUACUAACAGUACCAGAUAAGUGACGAGUGAAUAAAUUUCAGACAAACAGACCUACAACGUUGGCUUCAUUAACAACACUAAUAAAUCUAUGCACAUAUAAA